UGUACCUCAGGCGUGAUGUAAAUUUAUAUUUUUAAGAACUAAAUAUUAGAAUGUUGAAGUACCAAUGGAAGCACCACUUGAAGUACCAAUGGAAUUAUAAGCAAGAACUGAUUGAUGGUUACCGAAACCUAGAAUUUAAUGGAUCUCAUGGAAGUACUAUUUCAAAAAUGAGCAUUUUUUCUUUUUCUCCAUAUUUGGUUAUAACAAUAAGUAAGCAAUAAAUGAAUGAACAUCCA